rfam:Danio rerio chromosome 3, GRCz11 reference primary assembly.
GUGAAGAGGUCUUUUGGCCUGUGUAAUUUACAACUAACAUAUUUCGAUGAGGAAAACGAAGAG